CCUGACCUUUGGACUUGUUAAAGCAAGUGGCUUGCAGCCUAGGUGCGGGGACUUUUCCACUGGCCAGCAAGACGAAACUGCGCUUCUGGGGCUCAGGUGAAAGCUGGAGAAUAUCGGGGUGCUUUUGAAGAAGACAGAAGAGGAUGCAAAAAGUAGAGAGCUUCUAUGGCAUGCACAGGGCCCAAACCCUCACGAUCCAGGCCUGGCGGUUUGAAUUUGCAGGACUGCGGGCUGGCAUGGCGUGAACAAGGGUGAAGGAGCCACCGACUGAUUUAUGACCCGAAGGAGCAGACAAAGUGGAGGUUCCGCUAGCAGCUUGAUGAGCUGGUCACCUGGGUGGCGAUCUCCUGUUUAGACCCGGAAUAUCAAGGCGCCUCUACUUUGGCAACAAAACUAGGAUUGUGUGGACUCAGGAGUGAAAGCAAAGCAUAACCCGGUGGCUGAGUGAACGCUGGAGCUGUGCGUCCAUGGCCCACUCACUUCUGGUUUGUUCGCAGUUCCAGGACUCCCGCGGCGCGUUCUGCAAAGACAAGGUCACUGCUUUAGUGGCGGGGAGUCUCGCAUGCCAAGCGGAGAAGGCACCCACAAAGCCGCAGAAGGAAAAACGUUUUCCCCACCUGGAUCUGGAGAGGAAGGAAGCCCCGGGAGCUUCAGCUCUGCGGGAGUUUCUAUCGCAACUCCCCUGGGGCCCCCGAAGGGCGGAAGGAGGCACCCAACUCGUCCAAGCCUACAGGCUGGGACCUGACUUGCAGAACUGAGGAAGGGGCUCCUUAGGAUCCACCGCCAACAGGCUCCUGGGGCAGAGGACACUUGCCUUUGAUUCCCAGUUUCCAUCCGUGAAAAAGGCUACAGAUAGGGCAGUGCAGCAGAGUUGUAUACACUGAAUAAGACCACCUGUGCAAACCCUCGGUCUAAAAAUAGUGUGCACACUUUCCGGUUUGGGAAGGCAGGAGGUCACCCAGUCAAAGCCAGGAGGCCAGUGAAAUCUAGGACUACUGGAAGCUUGGAGUUUUCGGAAUCAGGGAGAACUAAUGCUUGGAUGGGAAGGACUAGGCAAGUAGGGACAAAAAUUGAGAAUCCGCAGGAAAAUUGAAAGAUAAUGAGGAGAAAGUUGAGUUUAAACUAGGGAUCAAGAGGAAUUUUAGCACGUAGGAGGAAGGGUACACCUACUCUCAAAAAGGUAUAGGAUCAAAUGUCCUUAGUGUAUGAGGCUGACGAUGUGAUUGAUCCUAUUCAGGCUGUUAAGGAAUGAGGAUGCCUCUUUUAAAUACAGAGUUGACAAUAGGUGCCACCUGUCCUAGGAGCCAGAAGAUAGGACGUAGCUGUGUGUGUAGAUCCCUGAGGAAGGUUUACACCUAUCUCAGUCCCUCUUCCCUGUAAUAGGUCCAUAGAAAUAAAGGCCCUUCUUCCCA